rnacentral:rRNA from 1 species
GAUGAACGCUGGCGGCGUGCCUAAUACAUGCAAGUCGAACGGACGGUCGCAAGGCCGUUAGUGGCGAACGGGUGAGUAACGCGUUGGUGACCUGCCCAAUAGUGGGGGAUACCAGGCCGAAAGGCCUGCUAAUACCGCAUGAGUUCGGGGAAGACUAGAAGUCUCCGAAGAAAGCCGAAAGGCGCUAAUGGAGGGGCCUGCGUCCCAUCAGCUAGUUGGUAAGGUAACGGCUUACCAAGGCGAUGACGGGUAGGGGACCUGAGAGGGUGACCCCCCACAAUGGAACUGAAACACGGUCCAUACACCUACGGGUGGCAG